rnacentral:rRNA from 1 species
GAUGAACGCUGGCGGCGUGCCUAAUACAUGCAAGUCGAGCGAACAGACGAGGAGCUUGCUCCUCUGACGUUAGCGGCGGACGGGUGAGUAACACGUGGAUAACCUACCUAUAAGACUGGGAUAACUUCGGGAAACCGGAGCUAAUACCGGAUAAUAUAUUGAACCGGAUGGUUCAAUAGUGAAAGACGGUUUUGCUGUCACUAAUAGAUGGAUCCGCGCCGCAUUAGCUAGUUGGUAAGGUAACGGCUUACCAAGGCGACGAUGCGUAGCCGACCUGAGAGGAUGAUCGGCCACACUGGAACUGAGACACGGUCCAGACUCCUACGGGAGGCAGCAGUAGGGAAUCUUCCGCAAUGGGCGAAAGCCUGACGGAGCAACGCCGCGUGAGUGAUGAAGGUCUUCGGAUCGUAAAACUCUGUUAUUAGGGAAGAACAAAUGUGUAAGUAACUAUGCACGUCUUGACGGUACCUAAACAGAAAGCCACGGCUAACUACGUG